rnacentral:lncRNA from 1 species
AUGUGUCCUAAGCUCCCCCAACAUGAGAAAAGCCAGCCAUGCGGCCACGGAGCCGGAGGCCCUGAUGGCAGCUCGCCCCGCGGCCGGCGGAGCACCGAGCGGGGAGGCAGCCUGCGAGGAACCCGCUGCCCGCACGCACACCUACGAUGCCGCAGCGAGCGUCACAGACGGCCGGGGCGACGCAGCGAGCGUCACAGAGACGCAGCGAGCGUCACAGACGGCCGGGUAGACGGAGGGAUGCAAUCAGCCACCCGACAGGACGCCCGGCGGGGCCGCCUGCCGACGCUGUGCAGAGCCGCGGCGGGCUCCCGGAGGGGCCGCCCUCGGCAGGCGGAGCCCGGCCUGCACGGAGGCGGUGAGAGCGUUCAUUACUCCGAGUGGGACACUGGGCCAAUUUUCAGGAGCCAGGAGAACGGAUGUAAAGGUGUAGAUGCAGAUGGAAGAUGAGGAAACUGGGAGACGCCGGUGAAUUAUUGACCAGACGAUACCAGUGUUUUCAUGCUUUGACAUUUUGGAGAUCGAGUUGCUUCUGCAAUUGACGGCACCCUGGAGCUUCCGUGGGAGGCGGGAUGCAGUUGCCAGUGUCUAGGCUGGCUAAACCUGGGCAGAGUCAUCAGGGCUGCACUUCAU